CCAACUCAAAUUUUCAAUAAAUAUUCUUCUACCAAAUCCAAUCAAUGAAGAGAAAUCAAGUUUCAACAAGAGAAAACCCGAAGGAAGAGACGCAGGAUAUGUCCCAAAUUUCUACUCUCACAGAAACUCAUAUUUCAAGUCAACAUUUGGGAUGUUCCGAAAACAUUCAAGAUAUUGAUGUAAAAG